CAAGAAGCUGAGGAGGGAGGCUGACCUCCAGUGACCACUCUGCACCGCUCUGGACGACACCCUCCCCCACCAGGUUCAUCCUCCUAAUUCGUUUUAAUCAUCCCAAAUUUUUUUGUCUUACCACAGUUAAGAAAUACGAUUCAUGUUUGCUAUUGCAUUUGGAGCUCCAUCCUUACAACUUAUGGAUAAUAUGAAUACAUCAAGGUGUUUUGGUUCUCCCCAUUCUGUAUGUUCGCAAUGGAGUGUAUAUAUUGUUGAUUUAUGUCAUGGUGAUUGAAUUUGAUUGCAGAGAGAAAGUGCAAAAGCUAUGGGCAAUCCUAUAUGACUGGCGCCAUCAGUAAGGAUUUAUUUAAAGCUAGCUUACUUUUGGGUCUAAGCCAAGUUUAUUUCUUUCGCAGAUUUAUUCACCUUAUUGGGACGGUGGGGUUAAUAUAUAUACAUCAACUUUGAGCAUCAGCAACGCAUGAAGCUUGCUUCUGAGGCUGCAACAUACUUUGCAAUCCCCCUGUGAAACAUACUUUUGUCACUAUGCACAUAUGGUUAUUCGAACAGAUUGAUUUCGAUUAGACUAUCUUUUUCCUAAUUACUUGUUAUAUGAUGUUCUUUACUAUUCAGAGGUUGUUGAAGGGAGAUGGGGCUCUUCAGGCCCCUUUGGUGCAAAAGCACAAGCAACAACAUCUACAGCUGACCACUUAUAGCCUAGGAUGUCCUGCAGAUUUGAUCUAUUUUGGAUAGAGUACAUGGAAUCAAACCACAGGAUACCCAAGCAGUGCGUACAAAUUGUAGUGGUGCUUGUAGCUUAUCAUCAAUCUGCCAUUAUUAUUUGUAUGUUGAAUGGGCGCUUUAUAUUUUAGGGCGGAAGACUGAAGCAAAGAAAACUGCGGCUCUUUAGUAUAUCUUCAGAUUUGCGGCUCUUUGAGCCGUGGUACAUUUGAUUUGAGACCCGGAUGAGGUCGGUUAAAUUAGGAUUAAAGUCCGCACAAUAACUAGGAACACUGAACAAGCAAGGCUAUUCAGAUGAAGUCUGCACUUAAUACUAUAGGUUUCUUUUUGGGCUCUUGUACAGCUUCGCUAGCAUCAUGAAUUAAUUGUGGGAUAUGAUGCACAGUAGUAGCUUCUUCUGUUUAUUUUAGAAAUCUUAGUUUAUAGGUUUCCUUUUCGUCUCUUGUACUAAUGUUCAGGGUAAUGGAAAUCUUGUAUGAUAAUCUGCACAUAGUUGAUACUAACAAUAGAAUGAUGACAUGUUUGUUUUUGGGCAUAAAGUUAUGUGCUGAUCCUCUUGCAUUUGGAUUCCGGUCUUACCCUGACUAUGCGGAUAUGCUAUUCUAUGUUGGUUUUACGUUUCUUAUUGGAAGAGUGAGAUGCCCAGGACAGAAUCCAGUUUGUAUCAACGCCUCAUUGGUAAGCACGCUCAGGUUUAAUGUUACUGCAAUUUCCUCCCUAAUUUCAGCCCUAGGAACUAUACCAGAUCAUCAUAAGGGUGUGUGAACUCGCACCUGGUCUUGAUGCUAUUUUUGCUGCAUGGUAGUCAUUAUUUUCUUAUGUCUUGCCUGAUGACCUCUUAAGUUCCUAUUU